rnacentral:rRNA from 1 species
AUUGAACGCUGGCGGCAGGCCUAACACAUGCAAGUCGAGCGAGCGGCGGACGGGUGAGUAAUGUCAGGGGGCUGCCCGAUAGAGGGGGAUAACUACUGGAAACGGUAGUUACUCCCGCAUACUAUCGGCUAACCCCUAUGGGAUUAGUAAGUAGGUUAGGUAAUGGCUCACCUAGGUGACGAUCCCUAGCUGGGCGGGGAGGAUGAUCAGCCAAACGGGGACUGAGACACGGCCCGGACUCCAACGGAGGCAGAAGUGGGGAAUAUUGGACAUGGGGCGCAAGCCUGAUGCAGCCAUGCGGCGUGUAUGAAGAAGGCCCUAGGGUUGUAAAGUACUUUCAGUCGGGAGGCGUUACCGACAGAAGAAGCACCGGCUAACUCCGUGCCAGCAGCCGCGGUAAUUC